rnacentral:misc_RNA from 1 species
UUGUAGGGACUCCGGUCCCCUCAAGAUGCAACCCGUGCCUUUUUUGUAGCCCGUAACGUUUCCUCGGCAGCCCCGCUGCCAGCGAGGACCCCUCCCAAACCUGCAAUCUCAGUAAAAAAUUCAGAAACCCCCCAAAAUUUA